UACAGAGGGGGCAAGGCGUUGUUUCGGAAUUACUGGGCGUAAAGGGCGCGAGUAGGCGGCCUGCUAAGUCGAACGUGAAAUCCCUGGGCUACAACCCCAGGGACUGACCGUCCGAUACUGGUUGGCUUGAAUCCGGGAGAGGGACGUGGAAUUCCAGGUGUGAGCGGUGAAAUGCGUAGAUAUACUGGAGGAACACCGGUGGCGAAGGCGACGUCCUGGACCGGAACUGACGCUGAGGCGCGAAACGU
rnacentral:rRNA from 1 species